CUGAGCGAAAUCCCCAGCCCAGCUGACUCAACUUUGGAGCAGUAUUACUGGAUCCUGAAUCAGCAAUUAAGGUGACAGGACAGGACUCCUGGAUUCAUCACUCCAGAGUAAAGCUCUGGACUGCCUCCCAGAACCAUGACAAUACACCUCUGGAUCAUCCCCAGGCCACAUCUGAGCCCACCUGUACUUGUGAACCUGUGGAGGACCUAAAGUUCCUAUUCAAAAGACAAAACCAAGAUAAGUAAUCUAAGAUGUUACUUUUAACUCUCUCACUAAUUACUUUUAUACCACUUAAAGGAGAGUUCAAUUUCUUUCUAGUGUGGGCACAGGAAUAUGCAGAGUCAUUACAACAAAAAUCUCACUGGAUAUGUGGCCUGCUCCCCUUGUCAAGUACCUCAGGACUCCCUUGGUGGGUAUCACCAUUUCAAGGUGAUGACUGGAAUAAAUUACAAGACUACAUUGAAGAGACAUGGAAAGGCUCCACAGUUCAUAGUUUAGCUCACCAUUACAAGGAUUAGAGGAUGUCAUGCAACACGUCGAGGCCUUAACCAGCUAUACUCAAGGGGCCUUAAAUGAGACCUUAACCAGGAUCUUUCUCCUAAAUGAAGAAGUCAAGUUAAUGAGACAAGCUGUCUUCGAGAACCAGAUGGCCUUAGAUGUCCCAACAGCAGCACAUGGAGGAACUUGUGCAACUGUAAAAGCUGAAUGUUGCAUGCACAUUCCUGAUCAAUCUGAUAACACCUAGAUGGCUGUUCAAGAUAUUAGAUGACAGGCCUGGGGAUGUGGCUCAGUGGUGCCGUGCCUGCCUGGGAAGUGCAAGGUCCUGAGUUUGAACCCCAAUACUGCAAAAAAAAAAAAAAAAAAAAAGGUAUUAGAUGACAGAUUAAUGUCAUGUCAGAUUCUGAAGCUCCCUGGACCUAUUCCUUACCCUCUUUGUGGAAGGCUAUCGCUGGUUCUUCCUGGUGGAAGCAAUUGUUGGCCAUAUUAAUAACAGUCUUAUUUAUUUAUUGUUUAGCCCAUGCAUAUUUAACUGGUUCUUUAGUUUUUUCUCCUCCAGACUUAAAGCUAUAUUCCUACCCAAGAUGAAAAUGCCUGAUGUCUACCAAGGGUCUUUACAUAGACCCUCUUGAGAGUAUCUCGGACCACAACUCCGACCACCUCCAGCCAAAAGCAGCCAGAGUAGCCAACACCCCUUUCCCCUUCAAACAGUUAGGGGCACUUCUUCAGAGGAGAAAAUAUUAUAGACUGGCUAUCUAGAUAAAUCAUAAAAUUAACUGCUGUCACUAUACCACUGAUGUAACCAACCUUCUUUUGGUGGGUGUUCAACAACUGAAGUUUGGGAGACCAAACCUGAAAAAGAUAAUCAGGUCAAGAGGACAGCCAAUAUUUUGGCCCUUGCUUUUCCCAGGUCAACAAGGACCCAGGACAUGAAUGGACCUUUCCGCAAGAUCCUACAACUCUGGUGAGUCAUCCAACCUCCUGAGCAAGGAGAUUGUUGGACCCCAGAGGAUAGGAUUCUACCAAUGUACAUCAUGCUGAAAGGAGAGUCACUAAAGGGUUCCCAUGCUUCAGAAAAGCCAUGUGAUCUAGCACAGACAAUGACUCAUCCUGGCAGAUGACACAUCUGACAGAGGAAGAACUGAAACUAAGAGGCUCUGACCAUGGCCCCAAAAGUAAUGCCUGAGGAAAUUUUACUGAGAUAUAUCUAUCUAUCUAUCUAUCUAUCAAGUGGUUAAGUUACAAUUGACAAAGUUCUCACCUUAAUGUGGUCUUGAACACCCAGGAACAGGUUACAGCCAGAGAUAUGUAUAAGUAACAACGAUAUAGGCUAGACAUACAGAGGAGGGCUCCAAUCACUAACCCCUGGUGCUCCCCAAGUAUGACCCCAUAGCUUUGUAAGAAGUCAAUGGAGGGCUGGUGAUGUAGCUCAGUGGUGCCAUGCCUGCCUGA